rnacentral:tRNA from 1 species
UUGUCUCGUAGCUCAGUUGGUCAGAGCGCUCGCCUGAUAAGCGGGAGGUCAGUGGUUCAAGUCCACUCGAGACAACCAA